GUAGGUGGCAAGCGUUGUCCGGAAUUAUUGGGGCGUAAAGCGCGCGCAGGCGGUUCUUUAAGUCUGAUGUGAAAGCCCACGGGCUCAACCGUGGAGGGUCAUUGGAAACUGGAGAACUUGAGUACAGAAGAGGAAAGCGGAAUUCCACGUGUAGCGGUGAAAUGCGUAGAGAUGUGGAGGAACACCAGUGGCGGAGGCGGCUUUCUGGUCUGUAACUGACGCUGAGGCGCGAAAGCGUGGGGAGCAAACAGGAUUAGAUACCCUGGCAGUCCACGCCGUAAACGAUGAGUGCCAAGUGUUAGGGGGUUUCCGCCCCUUAGUGCUGCAGCUAACGCAUUAAGCACUCCGCCUGGGGAGUACGGCCGCAAAGGCUG
rnacentral:rRNA from 1 species